AUGGACAGGGUUUUGAAGCUCUGUGGGUUUCUGGAGAGCAUUGAAACAAUCGUGAGGAAAUCUUUCUUCUUGGGGAGUUAAUUAUUUAUUGUUCUGUGUUUGAUGAGUUAAUGUUCAAACAACAAACAACAAAGUCAAGAAAUUCCACCUCCUGAUGGAGGAAGUUGUCAAUCAGUCACUGCUGUGAGUCCUGAGUGGAAAUCAUUGAUUUUCUUUGUCAUAAAAAAAAACACGUCAAAUGUUUUGAAGAAACGUUUCACUGUUUCCUCGUGGAGUCUUGAACACAGCUGGAUUAUCAGUGCAGCCUAAUUACUGAGUGUCGGCAGUUGGACUUUUCUACCACUAAUUAGGAUAUGCUGUUACUGUCCCGAGUGUUGUUUCCGACCUGGGGCUGCAGUAUCUUCGUCAGACUGGAAAACUCUCCCACGUCUCCACCCUACAGUUGGUGGGCGGAGCCUGGAGGCUUUAGGCUACAUCCACACAGACCCGUGGUCUCAGCUCUACACUCAACACUGAAGCCAACGUUGGAUAAAGCUGAUUGUUUUGGUUGAAAUGUGUGAAAAAUUGUUGUUCAAAGAGAGCAGCACAGCUCCUGAUGGGAUUUUUUCAAAAUAAAAGCAUGCAACUGAGAACAUUCAGUGUCUCUCUUUUUAUAUCACUUCACUAAUUAAAGUAAUUUGGAGCCAUCGUUUAAUUUGAGAAUUAAUAUAAACUUGUUUGAAAGUCAGUACAAGGAAGGACUUUUUCUUCGUGUUCUGUUUGCUAUCCGACUUCAAACUAAGGCUACGUUCACAUCGCAGGUCCCGCUGCUCAAUUUCCAUUGAUUUUUUUUGUAAAAAGCUUUUGU